GACGAACGCUGGCGGCGUGCUUAACACAUGCAAGUCGAACGGUAAGGCCCUUCGGGGUACACGAGUGGCGAACGGGUGAGUAACACGUGGGUGAUCUGCCCUGCACUUCGGGAUAAGCCUGGGAAACUGGGUCUAAUACCGGAUAGGACUCCUGGCUCCAUGGUUGGGGGUGGAAAGCUUUUGCGGUGUGGGAUGGGCCCGCGGCCUAUCAGCUUGUUGGUGGGGUAAUGGCCUACCAAGGCGACGACGGGUAGCCGGCCUGAGAGGGUGACCGGUCACACUGGGACUGAGAUACGGCCCAGACUCCUACGGGAGGCAGCAGUGGGGAAUAUUGCACAAUGGGCGCAAGCCUGAUGCAGCGACGCCGCGUGAGGGAUGACGGCCUUCGGGUUGUAAACCUCUUUCAGCUAUGACGAAGCGCAAGUGACGGUAGUAGCAGAAGAAGGACCGGCCAACUACAUGCCAGCCGCCGCAGUAA
rnacentral:rRNA from 1 species